ensembl:antisense
CCAGAGGGAGACCAGUGCCACGGAGCUCCCAAGUGCUCCCUGCAGCUCCAGGAAGAGGCACCAUGUGAACGAAGGGCUACAUCCCUCAGGUUUGGAGUGACCUGGUUGGGGGAGACAGCCUUGAGAAGAGGAGAAGGAAGUCGCCAUGAGGGCAGAUGGAUGAUGAGCACAGGACCAGGAGAAACAGCAGUUUCAGAAUCAUCAGACCACUCUGCCUUUUCGUAUCCAUACAACUUCAUCUGAAAAGAAAACCAAUAAAAAACAGAGCAAGUUUG